AUCUCUUUCCAGUUUAUCAGUAUGGUGAUUGGGUAUUCACUGUUUGUGUGGCAUGUUCCUCCCUUAAGUCUUGUUAUAGUGUCAGCAUAUUACCCAUCUGACA